rnacentral:tRNA from 1 species
GCCACCUUAGCUCAGAGGUAAGAGUGUCCGCCUUCGACGCGGAAUUUUUGGGUUCAAAUCCUGGAGAGAACA